rnacentral:rRNA from 1 species
ACCAACAGGGAUUGCCUCAGUUAUAUAUGAGUCGAGUGAAGCGGCAACAGCUCAAAUUUGAAAUCUGGCCUCACGGUCCGAGUUGUAAUUUGUAGAGGAUGCUUUUGGCGAGGUGCUUUCCGAGUUCCCUGGAACGGGACGCCAUAGAGGGUGAGAGCCCCGUACGGUAAGACCACCGAGCCUCUGUAAAGCUCCUUCGACGAGUCGAGUAGUUUGGGAAUGCUGCUCUAAAUGGGAGGUGUACGUCUUCUAAAGCUAAAUACCGGCCAGAGACCGAUAGCGCACAAGUAGAGUGAUCGAAAGAUGAAAAGCACUUUGAAAAGAGGGUUAAAAAGUACGUGAAAUUGUUGAAAGGGAAGCAUUCAUGACCAGACUUGGGCUUGGUUGAACAUCCGGCGUUCUCGCCGGUGCACUCUGCCAGUCCAGGCCAGCAUCAGUUUGCCCCGGGGGACAAAGGCGGUGGGAAUGUGGCUCUCUUCGGGGAGUGUUAUAGCCCGCCGUGUAAUGCCCUGGGGUGGACUGAGGAACGCGCUUCGGCACGGAUGCUGGCGUAAUGGUCAUCAAUGAC